rnacentral:lncRNA from 1 species
AAAUUAAUAUAAAGAUAAUUCAUCAUUACAUUUACAUAUCUAGAUUCUCUGGGCAAUGCUGGGCACAGGUUUGCUGGUGUUGAAUAAAUGCUUUUUAUUCGUUAAAAGUUUUAAAUGAAGAAAUUGUGUAUUUUGUGCUUACUAGAAACUUUAUAUGAGUAAAACUGAAGAGAUGUAAAAACAGAGAUAGAGUGCUGAUGUUGUUUUUCUGUGUCCAAGUUUCUAUUGUUGACUGCAUGAUAAAGCAGGUGUUUACAGCCUUGAAGGAUCCAGGAUUCAAUUCUGGGUCUCAUUAUUAUUUUUCAAGAAGAAUUCAGGCCCAACCAGACUCAUUGAACUCUAUCCUUCAAUCUUCCAGUCGAUCCCACUAUAGAUGUUGGAUAGUCUGUGGAGGCUUUGAAAGUAAUCAUUGUCAAAAAUAUCUAUUAACAGCUUAAUUCAAACUAACCUAACCAAGUUUCUAACAAAAAUAACCAAUUAUUUUUUUAAUGUUAAUUUCCC